UAAGAUCCGACUAACGCAAUCGAGAUAUUCUAGACUAAUCUAAGAAUCUCUCAUUCAGAAAAUGAGAGCGAAGUGGCGAAAAAAGAGGAUGCGUAGGCUAAAACGUAAAAGGAGGAAAAUGCGUGCGAGGUCUAAAUAAAUUUCAUAUCUAUAACCUCUCUGUAAGAGUAACAUUAUCAACCAGAUCAACUUGAAAAAAUUGUAUCGACUUUAACUUUCACAAUUAACUUUUCUUAUGCAGAGAGUUAAUUUUAUUACCAUGCACGUGACUUGUACAAUUUAAUAAAUUGAUCGUUUAAAUUA